rnacentral:rRNA from 1 species
AGCGAACGCUGGCGGCAGGCCUAACACAUGCAAGUCGAACGAAGUCUUCGGACUUAGUGGCGGACGGGUGAGUAACACGUGGGAACGUACCUUUUGGUUCGGAACAACUCAGGGAAACUUGAGCUAAUACCGAAUGUGCCCUUCGGGGGAAAGAUUUAUCGCCAUUAGAGCGGCCCGCGUUAGAUUAGCUAGUUGGUGGG